rnacentral:rRNA from 1 species
UACGAAGGGUGCAAGCGUUAAUCGGAAUUACUGGGCGUAAAGCGCGCGUAGGUGGUUCAGCAAGUUGGAUGUGAAAGCCCUGGGCUCAACCUGGGAACUGCAUCCAAAACUACUGAGCUAGAGUACGGUAGAGGGUAGUGGAAUUUCCAGUGUAGCGGUGAAAUGCGUAGAUAUUGGAAGGAACACCAGUGGCGAAGGCGACUAUCUGGACAGAUACUGACACUGAGACACGAAAGCGUGGGUAGCAAACAGGAUUAGAAACCCGAGUAGU